UUCCCUGGUCCGGUUUAGAGUAUCCCUUGCCAGGCCACACCUGAGGCAGGUCAUUUAUGUCUGAAAUGAGGAGGAUUUUUGUUUCCCACUGAGGCUAGUGAAUCUUUGCAAAUGGGGUUACAAUGCGGGAAAGCGACAUUUAGGGAGAAAAUUAGUUGUGAUCUUGUUCAAUGAUGGGCUGAUUGGUCUAAUCAUCCCUGCCACCCCCCCCCCCCCGCUUCCCAUGUUCCUAUCUUUUAAAUGCGACAACUUGUUACAAUCACAUGGUGGAAGCUUAUUCAACAUUAAGGGAGAUAUGCGUGGGAAGUUCUUUUCUGCAGAGGGUGGUGGGUGCCUGGAACAUGUUGCCAGUGGAGGUGGUAGAGGCGGGCACGAUAGCGUCAUUUAAGAUGUAUCUAGACAGAUACAUGAAUGGGCAGGGAACAGAGGGAUACAGAUCCUUGGGAAAUAGGCAACAAAUUUAGAGAGAGGAUCUGGAUCGGCGCAUGCUUGGAGGGCCGAAGGGCCUGUGCUGUGCUGUAAUUUUCUUUGUUCUUUGUUCUUAAUAACAUUUUAAGGGGGUGAAUGAAAUAAAUGUGUGUAAGAGGAAGAAAAAUUACAUUCAGAAAGGAAUCCAAGUGUGAAACUAACUCAACAGAAUCAUGAGUUUUAUGGUGAAAAAUGAGACCAUUCGGUCCAUCGUGUUGACCAGCUCUUCAAAUGACCAUUCUGACUCUGCCAUUCUCCUGCUUUUCCUGUGUCCACAGUCUUGUGAAGAGAGGGAGGGAUUUGAAUGAGUCCCAGUGGUUUGGUAACAUUUCCAGGAGAUCUUCACCUGGCUUCCAUCUGUACUGCAAUUAAUUUUUUUUAAUUGUGGUUCUUUAAUUUGCUUUAGCAUCUGGAUGAAUAGCCCAUUUACACAGUCCAUUAAAACCGUGAGUACAUUAUGAAUCAUAGUGUGGGACAGGAGAUGUGCACACACCUGGUUGAGGUAGGGAUGAUAAGCUUGCCUGACUACAUCAAUGGGUCAGUCUUAUGUUUUUUAUAAACAACAAUCUGAUUCCAGCACUCACGUUUCUGCCCAGUUAGAACCUGCAAUACUAAGAUGAAUUUCAAUGCUUCACCUGGUGAACUUGUGAUUGCCAGGGUAUUCUGAGCAUCCAAAUAGUGUAAUUUAGCUCUUCCAACAAAUUUCAGUUUCCUGAUCACUUUAACCUGUCCACAGACUAUAAGGCACGAGUCUGGAAGGUCAUGAUAUGCUCCCUGUUUGCCUGGAUGGGUGCAGCUCCAACACCACUCAAGAAACUUGACACCACCCAGGGCAAUGUAGCCCACAUCCACAAGCAUCUCCACCCUCCACUAUUGAUGCUCGGUCCAUGUAUGCACCAUCUACGACACACAUUGCAGAAAUUCACAAGGCUUCUUAGUAAACACUUUCUGAAUGGCAACCACUAUCAUGUCAGAGAACAAGGGUAGCAGAUACAUGGGAACACCACCACCUGUAAGUUCUGUCCAAUGCACGCACCAUCCUAACUGUUUCUUCACUGUUGCUGUAUCAAAAUCCUGGAAAUCCCCCCCCCUCCUCAAGGCAUUGUGGGUGGAUCUACAGCGCAUGGACUGCUGCGGUUCAAGGAGGCAGCUCACCCCCACCUUCUCAAAGGCAACUGGGAAGGGCAGUGUUGGACAUCAAUGUCGGAAGAAGGACAUUCACUGUAAGAAGUUGUUAGCUGUGACUCAGACAGCUGUGUGUAUCCCUCUUUGCAGGAUUGAGGGUUUAAGCCUUGGACACAAAGUCUGUGCAGACAGCCUUGGGUCAGCACAGGGGGGAGUGCCGCACUGUCGACAUUUCUGUCUUUUGAGUGAUCCCUUGAGCUAUGAUCCUUUCUACCACCCCAAGGAAACAUGAAAAAUACCCAUGAUCAUAAUUUGAAGAAAAGCCAGACAGUGUAUCCCCAGUCCCAGACCCCUUUAACCUUCUGCAGCAAAAGUGCGGCAAAUUAUUUGACAGCUGCUGUUUGCAGGAGAUUGCUGUGCACACAUUGAGUGCUGCUUUUCCUGCAGUCCACCUGUCAAAGGUAAAGUCACCAUGGUCCUACUAGAUCAUUAGAGAAGGAUGACUGGUAGUAGUUUAACCCAAAAGUCAUCAUGCCUCAGGUGAGGGGAGAGGUUGAGAAGGAGACUGCUUCAUGGUGACCUCAGCCGGUGCAGGAUUGAACCCAUGAUGUUGGCGUCACUCAAGCAAAUCAGCCAACUGAGCUAAAACGAUAGCAGAAAUUGCUGGAGAAACUCAGCACAUUUGUCAGCUUUUGCGGAGAGAGAGAGAGACGAAGCAGGGCUAAUGUUGCUAGUUUCUCCAGCAACUUCUGUUUUAGUUUCAGAUCUGCAGUUCUUUAGUUCGGGCAACUCAGCCAACCGUACUGCAACAGUGGCUGGGAUCCAUGGGACAGUGGGAGGCCGCGACAGGUGCUAGGCAAAGGCAAAUUUUGCAAUCUCCGAGGUGUCCCCGCUAUGCUAACAGGAGGUGGCGCCAGACUACGGGCUCACUCUCAUACAUAACACACAUACAGGGCCAGUAAACACGGAGUUUGAACCUUAUUUUGAACUAAGCGGAACAAAACACGAAUUUUACCCAUUGCUUGUAAACCUGUCAUUGGACAGGUCUAAAGUUAAGAGCUACAUAGGUGACCAGGAAAUAUACCGCAAACAACAGGACUGAUUUCACAUUGUUGUUCCCCAGCAGAAAAACUGCACCCCGAAUACUCCAGCUGUUACACUACCUUCUUAAAAGCACAGAACACGAAUGAUCCUAAUGUGUUCAAAAGACAAUCCAAGUCAUUUUUAAUCCUAAAUUGUCAUUGCAACAAACUGGGAACUCUUACAUUCUGAAGCUAAGCUAAACAGACAGAUAAUUUAAGAAUGUUCUAACAAGAUAUUCACGCUCCCCAAAUCAGCUGAGAAACUUCUACAGGUCUAGCUUCAAUUCAGUUUGUGCUUUCUCCAAACUUUUUUAAAUUAAUUUUUUUGAGAAGUUAAAUUCUCUAUGAGGGAGAAAAAAUGAUCUCUAUUCUAAAUAUUAACUUUGUUUUCAAUAAAACCAAAAAAAUCGUAGUUUUUUUGCUUUUAGAAAAGAAAGAUUGGCUUUGUGGAAGAGUAAAAUAUACGAAAUUAGUUACUGACUGUCAGAUUUCGAAUAUUUGAUCUUACCGUUUUCCCAAUAGCUGAGACCAGAGUGUAAAGUCACCGCCUGCUUUGUUGCAAUUUAACUGUAACGUUUGCAACGCCCUUUCUUAACCCUGUUGCUCCUGCUAUCGGAUGUCCCAACAGCAAAUGCAUGUGUCUGUCAGACUAACUUCAACUUUCUGCACAGGGGAAUGAAAGAGAGAGCCGUGCACGGAAUCAUUGUCCACCAGACAGCAGCAGCGAUUCUGUCCGAAUGGGUCAUUAGCGCCCACUGGGUCGCACGCAACUGCUUAAAGCAACAACGGGGACCAAUAUCAUCUACAAGAUUCCCUGCAGAGACUGCGAGGAACACUACGUCGGACAAACAGGAAGGAAACGAACAGCAAGAGAACAUGAACAUCAACUGGCGACAAAAAGACACAACCGAUACUCCCUCGUCUCAAUCCACAUGGACAAGGAGAACCACGACUUUGACUGGGACAACACCAAGAUCCUGGGACAGGCUAGGCAGAGACAAGCGCGAGAAUUCCUGGAAGCAUGGCACUCCAUGAAGCAUGUGAUUAAUAAACACACUGAACUCGACCCCAUAUACAUUCCACUACGGAGGAAACCCGGAAGUGAGGCAAUCCAUCACAACAGACCCCAGAGUUUAAAAACCAGGCGGGAAAACACACUGACGCUUCAUCGGAGGCUGCACUGAGGAUGUUACCCAGCACGGUAACGAAACGUCUGCGAAACAACAAACCAGCUCGGAGAGUCAACCAACCUCAACACCCACAACCCGAGCUACAAAUCUACUCCAAAACCUUAGGGGAAGGAAAUGUAUUUUACUCCGGACUAGCACACUGGGAUCGUAAUGUUAUACUACAAGUUUGGUAGAGACUAGUUUUAGAUUCUCUCAAAUUUACAAGAUUAAAGUGGCUCUUGCAGCACUGUAGUAAUGUCCCCUACCUUGGGACCACAAGGUCUGAGCUCAGGACUGAACCUUCUCCAGAGUUGUGUCACAACAUGUCAGAACUGUUUGAUUAAGAUAACAAGAAGAUUAAGGAGCAACCUACUGGGAUAUUAAAGGAUUUGAUAAGUUAAA